rnacentral:rRNA from 1 species
AAAGCCGGAAAUGGAAAAGCCGGUGCAAGCGAGGUAGGAGAUGAACAGGCAAAUCCGUUCAUCAAUCCGAAGACGUGAUGCGGACCGAAUUAAGAGUAGGGAAGUGUGUGAGCCAUGCGUCAAGAAAAGCCGCUAUUGUUUUACUUAAGCCCGUACCGUAAACCGACACAGGUGGAUGAGGAGAGAAUCCUAAGGCCGACGGGAGAAGCAUUGUUAAGGAACUCGGCAAAAUGACUCCGUAACUUCGGGAGAAGGAGUGCCAGCGAGAGCUGGCCGCAGAGAAUUGGCCCAAGCAACUGUUUAGCAAAAACACAGGUCUAUGCAAAACCGUAAGGUGAAGUAUAUGGGCUGACGCCUGCCCGGUGCUGGAGGGUUAAGAGGAGAGGUUAGCGGUAACGCGAAGCUUUGAAUUUAAGCCCCAGUAAACGGCGGCCGUAACUAUAACGGUCCUAAGGUAGCGAAAUUCCUUGUCGGGUAAGUUCCGACCCGCACGAAAGGCGUAAUGAUUUGGGCACUGUCUCAACAAUGCACCCGGUGAAAUUGAAAUACCAGUGAAGAUGCUGGUUACCUGCGCCAGGACGGAAAGACCCCAUGGAGCUUUACUCCAGCUUGAUACUGGGAUUCGGUAUUGCAUGUACAGGAUAGGUGGGAGGCUAGGAAGUGAUAACGCCAGUUGUCACGGAGCCGCUGUUGGGAUACCACCCUUGCAGUAUUGGAUUUCUAACCAGCGACCAUGAACUGGUCGGGGGACAAUGUCAGGUGGGGAGUUUGACUGGGGCGGUCGCCUCCGAAAGGGUAUCGGAGGCGCUCAAAGGUUCCCUCAGAAUGGACGGAAACCAUUCGAAGAGUGCAAAGGCAGAAGGGAGCUUGACUGCGACACCGACGGGUGGAGCAGGUACGGAAGUAGGACUUAGUGAUCCGGUGGUAUAAAGUGGGAUUGCCAUCGCUCAACGGAUAAAAGCUACCCUGGGAUAACAGGCUUAUCACUCCCAAGAGUUCACAUCGACGGAGUGGUUUGGCACCUCGAUGUCGGCUCAUCGCAUCCUGGGGCUGAAGUAGGUCCCAAGGGUUGGGCUGUUCGCCCAUUAAAGCGGUACGCGAGCUGGGUUCAGAACGUCGUGAGACAGUUCGGUCCCUAUCCGGCGUGGGCGUAGGAUAUUUGAGAGGAGCUGUCCUUAGUACGAGAGGACCGGGAUGGACUGGCCGCUGGUGUAUCUGUUGCAUACCAAAUGCAUGGCAGAGUAGCCAAGCCGGGACGGGAUAAACGCUGAAGGCAUCUAAGCGUGAAGCCCCCCUCAAGAUGAGAUAUCCCUACGUAAGUAGUAAGACCCCUUGAAGACGACAAGGUAGAUAGGUCAGAGGUGGAAGUACAGUAAUGUAUGGAGCUGACUGAUACUAAUCGGUCGAGGGCAUGAC